GGGGUUAUGGCUCAGUGGUAAAGCACUUGCCUACCAGGCAUGGAGGCACUGGGUUUGAUCCCCAAUACCACA
rnacentral:tRNA from 1 species